rnacentral:sRNA from 1 species
AAGGGGCCCCUACAAGCGGCCACAAGGAUGGCAGGCUUCGCGGAGCUCGGGCUGUCAUCGUGGCUCGUGGAACAAUGUCGGCAGCUGGGUUUGAAGCAGCCCACGCCCGUGCAGCUCGGCUGCAUCCCCGCCAUCCUGGAGGGUCGAGACUGCUUGGGCUGUGCUAAGACAGGCAGUGGGAAGACAGCAGCGUUUGUCCUUCCCAUCUUGCAGAAGCUGUCUGAGGAUCCCUAUGGCAUCUUCUGCCUCGUCCUGACACCCACCAGGGAGCUGGCCUACCAGAUCGCAGAGCAGUUCCGGGUCCUGGGGAAGCCUCUAGGGCUGAAAGACUGCAUCAUCGUCGGUGGCAUGGGUACGGGAGCUGGGAGGCGGGGGAAGCCCCAGCAUGGGACCCUAGCAGCUUUGGACCACCCGCCCAGCCCUGCCUCUCACGCUCUGUCCCCCAGACAUGGUGGCCCAGGCGCUGGAGCUCUCUCGGAAACCACAUGUGGUCAUCGCCACACCGGGGCGCCUGGCAGAUCACCUGCGCAGCUCCAACACUUUUAGUAUAAAGAAGAUCCGUUUCCUGGUGAGUUCGCCCCGC